AGAGUUUGAUCCUGGCUCAGGACGAACGCUGGCGGCGUGCCUAACACAUGCAAGUCGAGCGAUGAAACUUCCUUCGGGGAGUGGAAUAGCGGCGGACGGGUGAGUAACACGUGGGUAACCUGCCUCAAAGAGGGGGAUAGCCUCCCGAAAGGGAGAUUAAUACCGCAUAACAUUAUUUUAUGGCAUCAUAGAAUAAUCAAAGGAGUAAUCCGCUUUGAGAUGGACCCGCGGCGCAUUAGCUAGUUGGUGAGGUAAGGGCUCACCAAGGCGACGAUGCGUAGCCGACCUGAGAGGGUGAUCGGCCACAUUGGAACUGAGACACGGUCCAGACUCCUACGGGAGGCAGCAGUGGGGAAUAUUGCGCAAUGGGGGAAACCCUGACGCAGCAACGCCGCGUGAGUGAUGAAGGUUUUCGGAUCGUAAAACUCUGUCUUUAGGGACGAUAAUGACGGUACCUAAGGAGGAAGCCACGGCUAACUACGUGCCAGCAGCCGCGGUAAUACGUAGGUGGCAAGCGUUGUCCGGAUUUACUGGGCGUAAAGAGUAUGUAGGUGGGUGCUUAAGUCAGAUGUGAAAUUCCCGGGCUUAACCUGGGCGCUGCAUUUGAAACUGGGCAUCUAGAGUGCAGGAGAGGAAAGUGGAAUUCCUAGUGUAGCGGUGAAAUGCGUAGAGAUUAGGAAGAACACCAGUGGCGAAGGCGACUUUCUGGACUGUAACUGACACUGAGAUACGAAAGCGUGGGUAGCAAACAGGAUUAGAUACCCUGGUAGUCCACGCCGUAAACGAUGAAUACGC
rnacentral:rRNA from 1 species